AGGCAAAGAAAUGAUUCAUUAAACUCAAAAUAUAUAAGGUUCAUACAUAAGUAAAAAGCCAAACUAAACACUUAUGGGACUUAGCCUAACAUACUUAAUCCAACAAUCAUUGUAAUUAAAUAGAAAGACUUAAGAUUCAUAAAAUAGAAAACUAAAACUCCCUCAAAGUUCAAAGGCUCUUCAAGGAAUGAAGAAGAUUGGUCCUCUUUCUCCACGUCUUGGAAAAGCUUAUCUGAUUCUUCAAAGAAUGAUGCAACACAAGCUAGCAAGAUGUCAAAGAUGAUGAACUCCAGAAUUUUCUGCAGAGAAUAAUAGAACUCUUCUCCAUAGAGAUUCAGUAGCCGAAGAACUCCCUGUUCUAAUUAACCUCUACUCCUUGUAGAGAUUCCUAUUUUUUAGAGUUCUUUUCUCAACACACAACUCUUGUAGUUUAUCCCUUAUUGUCUUAAACAAACUAAACAACUCAAAAGAUAAUUAUCCACUAAUUACAUGAUAAUUACUUAAAUUCCUCUUUUUAGGCCUUAAUGAAUUAAGCUAGGCCCAAACUAU
rnacentral:lncRNA from 1 species